UCAUCUACAACUUCAAGCAGCAUAUAUUCCCACCUUAUUCGUAACCCUAGCACAAACCCUAGACGGCCAUCUCUCUCUCUCUAACGAGAAAAAGAUGUCGCACUUUGGAAGAUCUGGUCCUCCAGACAUCAAAGACACCUACUCUCUCCUCGUCCUCAACAUCACUUUCCGAACUACUGCCGAUGAUCUGUUCCCCCUUUUCGAUAAGUAUGGGAAGGUCGUUGAUGUCUUCAUCCCCAGGGACAGAAGGACUGGUGAUUCGCGAGGGUUUGCUUUUGUUCGGUAUAAGUAUGGGGACGAGGCCCAGAAAGCUGUUGAGAAGCUAGAUGGGCGAAUUGUUGAUGGCAGAGAGAUAAUGGUUCAGUUUGCGAAGUACGGACCUAAUGCUGAACGAAUUCACAAAGGGAGGGUAAUGGAACCAGUAUCAAGGUCAAAAGGCGGAAGGUCAAGAAGCCGUAGUCCUCGGCCGAGGUCUAGGGGUGAACUAAGGGACAGGGAUUCCAGGAGGAGAAGUCGCAGCAGAAGUAGGGAUAGAUAUGACCGUGAGCGGCAUAGGGGAAAGGAAAGAGAUUAUCGUCAUCGUAGCAGGAGCCGUAGUGGAAGUCCUGUUUAUCACAAAAACCGUGGAAGAGGCAGAUAUGAUGAUGAGAGGCGUAGCCGGAGUCGGUCUUAUGGAAGUGCCUCCCCUGCCCGGCGUAGCCCGAGUCCUCGGAGGAGCCCAUCUCCACGCAGGACUCCUCCUUCUAGGGAUGUAAGUCCUGUGGGACGCAAUCACAAAGAACGCUCACCUACUCCAAAAAGUGUAUCACCACGUGGUCGACCUGCUGAUUCUCGAAGCCGAUCUCCACGUAAUUCUGAUGCUGAUGAGUAAGAGAGCACCAGACCAUGGGAUGCAGAAUUGACCUAAAUGUAUCAUGUUUGGCUGCAUUCCUUCUUUUGGGGACAUUUUCAGAUUUGCCAGUAUGAUGAAUGCUAGAAUUGAUUGCUGUAGGCGGAUUUCUAAGUUGUGCCCGGGAAGAGUGGUUAUGGCUGACUGGCGAGAUGAUGUAGCAGCUGUUGAUGCUGUCUUUACUCUGCUGUCGGUUGAUAUCAUUCUCUUGCUGGUUGCAAAGUACAGUGUCUUUACAAAUUGACACUGAUGAUCAUGAUUGGUAAGGGUUAGAAUACUCGGAUAUAUUGAGGUCACUUGGGAUUAUGACUUCUGACUUGAUCAUCUUUCCUGUGAUUUUUGCUAACUCUAGAUUUUGCCAUUUUGGGCCUAGAAAGGAAUAUUAUUUGCUAUGAUGAUCUCAAAGGUAGCUGAUGCAGUUAUCUGCUGGACCAGAUGUUCAGCUAUGUAUAUUCUAAUAUGAAACCUGCUAUGCUGUACAUCGUUACAAUGAGGUUGGAUGUGGCGACGAAUACAUAGCCACUUGUUUAUUCCAGUUUUCGCAAAAAAAUCGUGGCUGUAGCUGUAAAAUGAUAGCUGAUAUCUUUGUAGAUCGGUUGUUGCUGCACUUGUUGCUGAUAACUAUCGAAUCUGAUGCUACUGUUUUUGGUGUUGAUGAGUGAUGCUUGGUAUGGUAGCUGUGUUGCAGCUGGCUCCAGUAGAUGUGGUUUCUUUCUUUGCGUUCCAGUUGCAAAUGCAGAGGUUGAGUUUUAGUUUUGGUUUGCAUUUUCUUAGAAUAUAUUUUUGCAGUUACACCCUAUUUCCCAUUAAUUUAUGUGAAUUUCUUGCUGGUUGAAUUAUACUUCUAUGAUUUAUUCUUAUUAGUUGCAUUGUGUUAGAAUUUUGUUUGAAAAUAUAAUUGUUCAUAAAACCAUUAUACUGUGUUUCUUUUGUUAAAUUAUUACUUCAGUAUCUGUGAUGUGCGCUUGUUGAACGCUCUUUCGCAUAGGAACUCCAUUUAAGCCAUAAAAUAAAAUAAAUAUAUUAAAAAAUGUUGUUAUUAACUGCCCUUAGAUUUUGGGAUUUCAUAAAUCCUAUGCUAAAACACAUACCCACACAUACCACGAGUUCAUAGAAGCAGGUGGAUGCUAUAUAGCUAUCUUUGGAGCUGAUUUCCUCGUCCAUUCUUACGAUUUAUACGUGAUAGUGUUUGGCAAGGUUUUUGGUUCAUCUUUUAUGUUGCAAAGUCAAAUGGAAGUCCUUUUUGUAUUAGGGCAUUACAUCUGCAUUCCAUUGCCAGCUUUUCUUACUGGUUCAGAUUAAGUCUAAUUUAAAAGUAUGAAUCGUAUUCCUUUUGUUACUAUUUUUGUAGUGGAUGGUGAAAAUGUUGGAACUUAUGUCUUCAACUUGGUGAUUUUAAAGGAAAAAGAAAUUGUGACUGGUAUGUUAGUGCUUGAAAUGAUUAUGGCUUUGCUUUAAAGUCGCAAUACGGGAAUGCCUUGUUUGCACAUGGCUUUAAGUUCCGAUGUUGGAGUCAGUUCUAUCACACUUUACUUUCAAUAUCUGGACAUUGUUUUCUUUGGGUUUGCUUCCCUCCGAGUGCUUUCUUAAUGAAAUUUUACUUAAAUAUAUUAAAAAAAAUUAUAUAGGCAUUGCUUUUAAGUCCUCUUGCAAAUUCUAGGCUUGACCAGUGUUGUCGAAGGCGCGCAUAGUGUCCAGGCUCGUUAAGGCGCAGUAUUUGUUUCUGUUGCGUCCCCAAGUGUGCCUUUGACAAUACUUGAACCAUUAAUAGGAAAUAUGAACCAUUAAUAGGAAAUAUUUUGGUAACACUGGGCUUGGCUGAUACUUAAAAGCAGUCAAGACCAGCAUGAAGCAUUGAAGGCUAAAUUUGUGGUCAGAUCCUCUAUCAGUGGAGCGCCUGGAAUUUCAUUCCAUUAGUCUUUCUUUCUCUGAAGUAUUAGUUGUUGGGCAUGGCUGCUUUUUGUGGUUUUUUUUUUUUCCAUUGCUUUUUGUGGUUUAUGAGUUCUGAGAUACACUACUGCACUACCUUUCCUGUUAUGCUUCUUUUAGGCUGAUUUGCAGUUUUUUACCUUUUUAUUUAUUGAUAAUUAGUGGUUUUGUUGUUGAGGGAGGGUAAUAGGAGAGGUUUCAUCAUUAUCACUUGCACAAUUUCACCAUGUGGUGGUUGUAGGGAAUUUAUAUUAUUAAUAUUGUUGCAUGGAUUGGACUUAUAAAAAAAAAAUAUAUAUAUUGUUGCAUGGAUUGGAGAAAUUUUUGGGAAAAAAUUGGAUCAAUUUCAUAAUUAGAUUUAGAUAAGAUCUUAAAGUGUUUAUAUCCUAGCUUCAUAAAUGGAGGUUGAGUUGUAUGUGGAUCUACAUUUCUGCAAUCUGUUACUUACUUAUUUUCUUGAGGUCUAACUUUUGAGCCAUUCAGUGGUACAUGGGCGAUGGAAAAUGAUUGAAACAAGUCUCCGUGGGACUAUCCUUUUAGAAAUCGUUUGGAGUGGAAAAUCAUCAUAUAUGAUAGCUGAAGUUGAAUGUUCUUGUUUAUCAAGGCUAAGGAUCCAACUUUAUAUUAUAUUUAACAUAAGAUAUAAAAUUUGAAAUUUAGGUUUGUGUUCCAACUCAGUUUUGUAACAAACUUUUGAGGAUAAGAUUAGUCAAUAAUUAGUGAAGUUUUUGGUUGCAUCAUCAACCUUGUACUCCUAGCUUUUAAAAGAGGAGAGCGGUGCUAAAUGUAGAGCAGUCUAUAGGAUAUGGUAAUGUUUUACCUGUUAGAUUCUGCCUGUUUUGACUUCUAUCUAUAUGUUAUUAUUCUUCAAGCUUAGACAUGUUAGCAACUUGAAAUGACAGGUGAAGGAUUAGAAUAUUUUUAGAACAUUAAGUUUCCUGCUUCUGUUCUGUUAUGCAAUUUAACGGACAGUUCAAUUUCCAUAUGAGGCAUUGGCUAGAGAAAGUGCACGUUGAAAAGAAUGGUUGCCAGUCCACCGGCUAGCAUAAUGAUGAUUAGGGUUGUAGCAGGAUCUUUCAAACUUUCCUUUGUUCAAUAGGUCCUUCCCCAACUUCCGUCUUAGAGACAAAGUAUACCCAUCAUCCUAGAGGAGCGUCACUAGAUCCCUGUAUACCGUCCUUUUCGAAACCACUCCCAUAGGGAUGUGGGUCUAUUAUUAACUUAUAAUUUAAACUAUUACAUUAGAUUAAAACUAUGGUAACUUUAAAUAUAUUAGUUAAAUUUAGUUUAUUACAUUAAUUAAUAAGAUAUAAAUUUAUUAAAUUAAUAUAAGUUGAAGGGAAAUACGGUCAUUGCAACAAAUACAUUUAUAUAUUUUGGGGUGUGGAGUAUCAGAUAACUAUUGUGAGGUAGUACAUAUGAGUUCAUUUGGUAUUUGUUUGGGUUUUCAUUAAUAAUGGUGAGUAGCAACCUGUGCCAGUACUAUAUGACCUUUGAAAACUAAGGAUUAAAGGUUGAGUGAUUUGUUGUAUUUUAUCAUGAUAGAUAUGAAUCCAGUUAUUAACUGUGUAUUAAUCGUGUACCAAUGCAUAGUGUGUGUGUUUUUUUUUCCUCCUCUAUUUUUGUUUUAACUGUCCUUAAUUAGUGAUUGAUGUGGUUGUUAUUUGUUAUAUGAUCACUUGUUUUAAAAUUUUCAUUAAAAAUGUUUUCCAUGGAUCACAAUUAGUUUUAUUUUAUUCGAUAAACUAGUGAUGGCAGUCAUUUCCUUCAAUUAUUUUAAUUUUGCAUACAUUUGGUCUCAUUUUUUCUUUUUAUUUUUCUUUUUUCAUUGGCAUUUGGAGUAAUAAUGAUAGCACUCCUCUUCACGUUAGUGAAAUCAGUGCAACAUUACUUGUAAUAAAUUAAUUGUACAUUACUUGUGAAAAAAAAUAAAUUAAUUGUACAUUAAAUUUCCUGUAGAAAGAUUGAAAGCACGUGGCCCGGUAAACCUGUGUAGUAGAUUGAUCAAAUAAAAUUCCUAAAAACUAAUGAAAGUAGUGUCAAGUUUUUUUUUUUUAAUGGGUUUUGGCAUAGCUCUAUUAUUAAUAUUGUUUUAAACUUCGUAAAAAUAUGUGAUGUGCUACAAAUGUGUUUGAUGAUAUAGAUUGAUGAUACGUGGACGUUUGAGCUUCAUUAGAACCAAACUAUAGGAAUGUAUAUCUUAGGAUGUGAUUGGCGAAUUAUAUAUAUAUAUCUAUCUAUCUAUCUGGCCAUGCAAUGCGAAAAUUCUAAACUUGCAAUGAAUCAAUCCCAUUCAAAAUAAAGGAAGCCUUCAAUUAUUGAGCACCAAAAUUGGAACACAAAUAAUGUAACGUAAACCAAAAUUUGAUCCCGGUAUUGAAGCCGUGUUGUUCAGGCUCUGGUUUUAGGUGUUCGGUUCUCGUCUUUUUGUUUCUGCACUAUGGGUUCGUCGUUGCGGUGGUUCUUUUGUUUGGGCCUUCUGUCUCCUUCCCGUCGGCCGUUGCAACUCCAGCCUUACCGGUCCUCCGAUCUAGAGUUUCUCGAUCCCUUUUAGGUUUGUUCUUGGCCCUGUUCUCCCUUUGGCGAUUUCGUUUGGCCUUGAAUUUCGGUUUCAAAUCCCUUUGUGGGAUAAUUUUCCUUUGAUGCCGUUUGUCGGUGUCUAUUGUGUCUGGUGCUUCCCGAUGAUGGUGGUGUUUUCCGCCGAGUACGUCUUGCUGCCGUCGUGCCUUUGGCGUCUGGUUCACGCGCGGUGUGCUGUGAUGGGUCCGGGUCCGGCUUCUGGGUCUUGUGGUUGGGUUGCUCUUCUUGCUGCCGGCUUGCUGACUUUUUGGCCGCUUUCUGGGCUUCCAUUUCCGGCGAGUUCUAUUGUGUUGGGUCCAUCGUGGACGGCCACGUCCCGUCUUGGGUUUGCUAUGUGUGGCGCUGCAAUUAAGACACGUCGUUCCCACCACUUUCUGGCGCUUGUAUUUGUUGUUGUGUGGCUGUUGGUACACCUUGGGUAUUUGCCUCUCACCCGCCACGUCUUGUGUAAUUUGGUGGGCCAUGUGUCCCUAACCAAUGCUCAUGUUUUGUUGUGUUUUGUAGUCUUCUUGUUUUCGUGUCGGUGGUUGACCCCACCUUUGUACCUGGGUUGGGGCUUGUGCCUUGUGGUGUGGUUGUCUUUUGUGGAUCUGUUUAUUGUAAAUGCCGUAGGAAGAAUGUUUGGGGCACCAGAAUUGAACUGAACAUCUCUUUUAAUAUUAAUAAUUAAUAUUUAGGUAA